rnacentral:rRNA from 1 species
UACGAAGGGGGCUAGCGUUGCUCGGAAUCACUGGGCGUAAAGCGCACGUAGGCGGCUUUUUAGUCAGGGGUGAAAUCCUGGAGCUCAACUCCAGAACUGCCUUUGAUACUGAGAAGCUUGAGUCCGGGAGAGGUGAGUGGAACUGCGAGUGUAGAGGUGAAAUUCGUAGAUAUUCGCAAGAACACCAGUGGCGAAGGCGGCUCACUGGCCCGGUACUGACGCUGAGGUGCGAAAGCGUGGGGAGCAAACAGG